rnacentral:sRNA from 1 species
AAGUCGUAACAAGGUUUCCGUAGGUGAACCUGCGGAAGGAUCAUUACCAAAACUUAGCUGUCUGGCCGCGAGGUCGUGACGCUUCAACCCUCUGUGAACCAAAAAACCUUUCGCUUCGGCAGCCGCCCGGUCGCUAACCCGACCGGCGUGUCAGCCUGCCGGCAGCACCAAACAAAAAACUUGCUUUGAAAAUUAUGUCUGAUAACCAAAUUUUCGAAUGAAAAUUAAAACUUUCAACAACGGAUCUCUUGGUUCCCGCAUCGAUGAAGAACGCAGCGAAACGCGAUAGUUAAUGUGAAUUGCAGAAUUCAGUGAAUCAUCGAAUCUUUGAACGCACAUUGCGCCCAUCGGUAUUCCGUUGGGCAUGUCUGUUUGAGCGCCAUUACAACCCUCGACACCAGUCGGUUCUGAGCCCGGGAUGGUGUAACACCCGCCCCCGGCUUUAAAGUUGUAAGCUCUGCUGGCCGCUCCGCCUGACCGAAAACAUAGUAAACCUACUUGUUGGAGGGGGCGCGAACGGUACGGCCUGAACAAAACCUACCCAUCUCAAGGUUUGACCUCAGAUCAGAUAAGGAUACCCGCUGAACUUAAGCAUAUCAAUAAGCGGAGGAAAAGAAACCAACAGGGAUUGCCUCAGUAACGGCGAGUGAAGCGGCAACAGCUCAAAUUUGAAAUCUGGAGCCUUCGGCUUCCGAGUUGUAAUUUGAAGAGGAUGUUUCGGUUGUGGCCUGGGCCUAAGUUCCUUGGAACAGGACGUCAUGGAGGGUGAGAAUCCCGUACAUGGCUGCAGGCUUACUUCCAUGUGAAACUCCUUCGAA